rnacentral:rRNA from 1 species
CACGUAGGGGUGCGAGCGUUUGUCCGGAAUUAUUGGGCGUAAAGAGCUCGUAGGCGGUGUGUCGCGUCGGCCGUGAAAACUUGCAGCUUAACUGUGGGCGUGCGGUCGAUACGGGGCAUCACUGGAGUUCGGCAGGGGGAGACUGGAAUUCCUGGUGUAGCGGUGAAAUGCGCAGAUAUCAGGAGGAACACCGGUGGCGAAGGGCGGGGUCUCUGGGGCCCGAUACUGACGCUGAGGAGCGAAAGCGUGGGGAGCGAACAGG